GAGGAGGAGGUAUAGGUGGAUGAGGAUGAGGAGGAGGUGGAGGAGGAGGAAAAGGAAACGUUGGAACAUUGCGGUUAUCUACGUGUGUUAGUGCACACAGUUAAACAACGUGGAGUCUUGAGGUAGGGCAGUGGAAAUUUCCACUGUGCUCGCUCUCCGAGACGACGGUCAAUACUCUCUCCCUCUCUCUCUUUUUCUCUCUCUCUCUCUCUCUCUCUCUCUUUCUCUCUCUCUCUCUCUCUCGUCGAAUUGCUUACGAGUUUACGUUGCCGCGGUUACUACAGGCCGUUUCAAAUCCAAUUGUAAAUAGUUUCUUGGAUUAGACAGGUGCAGAUUAAUAAUACAUUUUUCACAUUUACCAGGUCACAUUCUUCAUUGGCACCUUACGAUAACAAUUGUUUGACAAUGUUGAACCUUUGACGUUGGAUUUUUGUAAACGACAAAAAAAAAAGAGAGAGAGAGAGAGAGAGAGAGAGAGAGAAAGGAAAUGAUAGUAAGAUAAAAGAAACUUCUUCUUUCGAGAACCAAGUGAAAGUCUGUCUUAUAACUUAAUCGUCAUAUUAAUUGAACUACUUCGAACGACGAAAGUAAUCAGACAAAUUCUCUCUCGCUUUCAUGGCUGAACGUGGUAAAAGUGUAUAAGGUGAAUAAGAGGGAAGAAUGAAGAAGUAAUCAGGAUAAUUAGAAAUAUAUUGAUUUUGAAAUGGAUAAUUUUCCUUUUGAAAAGGUUUUCCUUUUCUUUUUCGAGAAAACGAAAAGAGUUUUUUUUUUAUCUCUUCUUUUCUUCCUCCUUUUUCUCUUUCUUUUUUUUUUUUUUUUUUUUCUUUUCUCUCCCCUCCCUUCCUCCCCUACCAUCUUCACUCGUCGCUCUGCCAAAAGUUAUCCACCAAUCGGGCACGAAGAAUAAGAAUUUAAGCGAGAGCUGACUUUCCAGGUGAAAAGGAAAGAAAAAAAAAGAGGGGAAAGAGAAUAAAAAAGAUUGCUUGCUGUGCGUCCUUUCGUACGUUUCUCACAGCUACCUGCCAUCUCGGUAUAUCAAUGUAUAUGACUGUUUGUGUGUGUGUGUUUAUGUGUGUGUGUGUGUGUGUGUGUGCUAAGUAUAAUCGUCCUCCUCUACCAUAGAAUCGUCAGAGACUCGACCUCAGCACCGUCUCGACGCGACUACAGGAAUCGAGGGCAGGACUCUCGAGAUCGGGUCGCCAAGGGAGAUUCGUUCCUGGCGACAAAGAAACGGCAGCUAGCCAGCGGUCACGUGACAACGAUUUGAAUGCAGCGAGAAUCUUUAAAUAGCCCCUCCGUCUAUCCGCAAAUGUUCUUCGUGCUGCUCUCUUCGUUCGUUCGUUCGUUCGUUCGUUCGUUCGUUCUUACGUUCGUUCGGUACUUACGUACUCGUUCGUUCGUUCGUUCGUUCGUUCGUUCGUUCGUUCGGAGUUAUCGCUAAGAGAGUGUCCUGCUGCUCGCUGGAAUGCGCAAAGAAUCUCGGCCGAACGUAAUCCCGAUAUCUCUCAUUUGUCAUCGACAAUUAUUAUUACAUGUGGAACAUUCGAAAUCAAUUUCAGAAUUAACUCUAAUAUUUGAAUUUUUAUU